AUACAGAGGGUGCGAGCGUUAAUCGGAAUUACUAAGCGUAAAGCGCGCGUAGGCGGCUGAUUAAGUCAGAUGUGAAAUCCCAGGGCUCAACCUUGGAACUGCAUCUGAUACUGGGUAGCUAGAGUUUAGGAGAGGGAAGUAGAAUUUCAGGUGUAGCGGUGAAAUGCAUAGAGAUCUGAAGGAAUACCAGUGGCGAAGGCGGCUUCCUGGCCUAAAACUGACGCUGAGGUGCGAAAGCGUGGGUAGCAAACGGGAUUAGAAACCCCAGUAGUCC
rnacentral:rRNA from 1 species